rnacentral:lncRNA from 1 species
CUCACUCCCGUCUCCGGAUCAGUCUGCUCCAAGCUCGAUCAACGCUGGCUACUAGUGCCCGGACCUGCAUCACGAAAUAGAUGCAGAGCGUAGCAUGAGUACCAAAACAACCGGUACCCAGUAGGCAUCAUAGGCCGACUGAACUUGAAAAGUAAAGGCAAUAUGAAAAGAAGGAAUAACACAAACCGAAGUCAAGAACUAAAAUCCAACUAACAAGGGAAUGCACACGAGUGUACAAAGAACUAACUAAAGUAAUCUAUAAGCUAACUACACCUAACUGGGCCCCCAUAAGCCCAGAAGGUACACUCGUGCGCAAGUUAAAUAAAAACCCAAACGGACCCCCAUAAGCACGACGAGUACACAAAAUAACUAUAACUAAAGAGAAUUGCAUAAAAGAACCCAAGAACGAAGAACACGAAUCAGAACCUCAACCCUAAUUAGUAAAAUCUGACAGUACGGAGGCCGGACCUCGAACCGGAUGCUCACCAAAAGUACCUAAGUAACCAAUCACAAGUAACAAGUAUAAGAGGCCGGAACUCUAACCGGAUGCUCUAUAUAGGUAUCUGAGCAAUAGAGGCCGGACCUUAAACCGGAUGCUCUAUAUAAGUAUCUGGGAAAUAGAGGCCGAACCUUAAACCGGAUGCUCUAUAUAAGUAUCUGGGAAAUAGAGGCCGAACCUUAAACCGGAUGCUCUAUAUAAGUAUCUGGGAAAUAGAGGCCGAACCUUAAACCGGAUGCUCUAUAUAAGUAUCUGGGAAAUAGAGGCCGAACCUUAAACCGGAUGCUCUAUAUAAGUAUCUGGGAAAUAGAGGCCGAACCUUAAACCGGAUGCUCUAUAUAAGUAUCUGGGCGAUAGAGGCCGGACCUUAAACCGGAUGCUCUAUAUAAGUAUCUGGGCGAUAGAGGCCGGACCUUAAACCGGAUGCUCUAUAUAAGUAUCUGGAGGGUCCAUUAAUAACACAAAGCAUGCUCACAGUUACCCGAUAAUUCUCGAAAUAGGCCGAAAACAUGAUUUCUAAUCACCUAUGCAUGAUUCAAUAACUACCCAACCCAAAUCCCAACUAAUCAACAUGCAUUCACAUUCUCGAGCUCAAUCUAAGAGAGGGAAACCGUAGCCUACCUGUAGGCCAAUCACACGCGCUCCAAAAUCACUUCUCCGGAGCUUUCCCUUUCCGAACGUCCUCGAAACGCUGCCCCGCUAUCAAAAAUAGGAUCACAACGUUAUUACAGUCGUUUAGACACCAAAAUCACAACAAACGGAGACGGGUUAGUUUUGGAGUCAAAACGGGAAUCGUGGGACCCGCGCUGGAAAUUCUGAAAUUAACCCCACAAGUGGGUCCUAACAAGUUUCCCCAGCUCAUAUCCCAAAAUGGGACACAAUUCGGGGAUCGGGAACAACACACUACCAACAAACAACCAAAGCCCAAAUUUUCUCAAAAAUUAGAAAUGGACAACAGUUGAAUCAGUGUAUUUACCAGAAACUGGAGGUCUACAGUAAAAUGCGACAACACCACGACGUUCUCCUCGAAAAUCACUCAAGAUAGCCUAAAAAAUCACUGAAAUCGGAC